CAGCUCUCCGAGUGGUGGGGACGAUUAUUGGGCUUAAAGCGUUCGUAGCCGGCUCAGCAAGUCUUCCGUUAAAUCCAGCGAUCUAAUCGUUGGUCUGCGGGAGAUACUGUUGGGCUAGGAGGCGGGAGAAGCCGACGGUAUUCUCGGGGUAGGGGUGAAAUCCUGUAAUCCCGGGAGGACCACCAGUGGCGAAGGCGGUCGGCUAGAACGCGCUCGACGGUGAGGGACGAAAGCUGGGGGAGCGAACCGGAUUAGAAACCCGGAUAGUCCCAGCUGUAAACGAUGCGGGCUAGGUGUUGGGGUGGCUACGGGCCACCUCAGUGCCGCAUGGAAGCAAUUAAGCCCGCCGCCUGGGGAGUACGGCCGCAAGGCUGAAACUUAAAGGAAUUGGCGGGGGAGCACCACAAGGCGUGAAGCUUGCGGUUUAAUUGGAGUCAACGCCGGGAAACUUACCGGGGGCGACAGCAGGAUGAAGGCCAGAUUGAAGGUCUUGCUGGACGAGCUGAGAGGAGGUGCAUGGCCGUCGCCAGUUCGUGCCGUGAGGUGUCCUGUUAAGUCAGGCAACGAUCGAGACCCGCUUCCCUUGUUGCUACUGGUGAAUAGCCAGGCACACUAGGGAAACUGCCGUCGAUAAGGCGGAGGAAGGAGCGGGCCACGGCAGGUCAGUAUGCCCCGAAUCCCCCGGGCCACACGCGAGCUGCAAUGGCAGGGACAACGGGUUCCAACUCUGAGAGGGGGAGGUAAUCUCUAAACCCUGCCUCAGUUGGGAUCGAGGGCUGUAACUCGCCCUCGUGAACAUGGAAUGCCUAGUAAUCGCGUGUCAUCAUCGCGCGGUGAAUACGUCCCCGCUCCUU
rnacentral:rRNA from 1 species